rnacentral:rRNA from 1 species
UACGUAGGGGGGCUAGCGUUGUCCGGAAUCAUUGGGCGUAAAGCGCGUGUAGGCGGUCCGGUAAGUCCGCUGUGAAAGUCGGGGGCUCAACCCUCGGAUGCCGGUGGAUACUGUCGGGCUUGAGUACGGAAGAGGCGAGUGGAAUUCCUGGUGUAGCGGUGAAAUGCGCAGAUAUCGAGAGGAACACCUGCGGCGAAGGCGGGUUGCUGGGCUGAUGACUGACGCUGGGGCGCGAAAGCCAGGGGAGCGAACGGGG